rnacentral:rRNA from 1 species
CCUACGGGUGGCUGCAGUAGGGAAUAUUGGGCAAUGGACGAAAGUCUGACCCAGCCAUGCCGCGUGCAGGAUGACUGCCCUAUGGGUUGUAAACUGCUUUUCUAUGGGAAGAAACACUCAUACGUGUAUGAACUUGACGGUACCAUAGGAAUAAGGAUCGGCUAACUCCGUGCCAGCAGCCGCGGUAAUACGGAGGAUCCAAGCGUUAUCGGGAUUCAUUGGGUUGAAGGGGUGCGUAGGAGGAAGAGGUGAAAUCUUGCGGCUCAACCGUAAAAUUGCCUUUGAAACUGGUAGUCUUGAGUUCGGUCGAGGUGGAUGGAAUGUGUCAUGUAGCGGUGAAAUGCUUAGAUAUGACCCAGAACACCAAUUGCGAAGGCAGUUCACUAGACCGAUACUGACGCUGAGGCACGAAAGCGUGGGGAGCGAACAGGAUUAGAUACCCCAACAGUC